UACGGGGGGGCAAGCGUUGUUCGGAAUUACUGGGCGUAAAGGGCUCGUAGGCGGCCAACUAAGUCAGACGUGAAAUCCCUCGGCUUAACCGGGGAACUGCGUCUGAUACUGGAUGGCUGGAGUUUGGGAGAGGGAUGCGGAAUUCCAGGUGUAGCGGUGAAAUGCGUAGAUAUCUGGAGGAACACCGGUGGCGAAGGCGGCAUCCUGGACCAAUACUGACGCUGAGGAGCGAAAGCCAGGGAGCAAACGGG
rnacentral:rRNA from 1 species